CAGAUUGUCUACAGAUGCUACAACAGUGAGGAGUUUGGUUGGAGAUGAUGCAUUGACGUUGUUGAUAGUGCAAAAAUAUAGAGACAGUAACCGCCGGUUUGAUAAUAGCCUUUAGGGUGAAUUGGAUGAACAUAUCCAUGCAUCACCAUAAACGGUGAGACAGCAAGAACCACAAGAGCAAGCUCCCAAUUCGCCGUAAAAGCUAUUAUAAAACCGGCGGUUAGAGUCGCUACAUUUUUUGCACUAUCAACGCCAACGUAUUUCCUACCGAACUCCUAUGUUAUUUCAUCAAAUAUCAUGUGGGCUCUGA